AAGAUCUUAAGUUAUAAAAACUAGCAGCCUUCAAAGCUACCAAUAAGAAAUAAUUCUUAGAUCUUA
rnacentral:tRNA from 1 species